UUUAUGCCGGCGACCGGCGCACGGGUGAGUAACACGUAUGCAACCUGCCCCUGUCAGGGGGACAACCCGCCGAAAGGCGGGCUAAACCCGCGUACAUGCCACCGGGGCAUCCCGGAGGCAGGAAAGGCUUCGGCCGGACAGGGAUGGGCAUGCGGCGCAUUAGGCAGUAGGCGGGGUAACGGCCCACCUAACCGACGAUGCGUAGGGGUUCUGAGAGGAAGGUCCCCCACACUGGUACUGAGACACGGACCAGACUCCUACGGGAGGCAGCAG
rnacentral:rRNA from 1 species